AUUGAACGCUGGCGGCAGGCUUAACACAUGCAAGUCGAGCGGAGCGAGGGUGCUUGCACCUUAGCUUAGCGGCGGACGGGUGAGUAAUGCUUAGGAAUCUGCCUAUUAGUGGGGGACAACAUUCCGAAAGGAAUGCUAAUACUGCAUACGCCCUACGGGGGAAAGCAGGGGAUCUUCGGACCUUGCGCUAAUAGAUGAGCAUAAGUCGAGUUAGUUAGAUGGUGGGGUAAAGGCAUACCAAGGCGACGAUCUGUAGCGGGUCUGAGAGGAUGAUCCGCCACACGGGGACUGAGACACGGCCCAGACUCCUACGGGAGGCAGCAGUGGGGAAUAUUGGACAAUGGGCGGAAGCCUGAUCCAGCCAUGCCGCGUGUGUGAAGAAGGCCUUUUGGUUGUAAAGCACUUUAAGCGAGGAGGAGGCUACUAGUAUUAAUACUACUGGAUAGUGGACGUUACUCGCAGAAUAAGCACCGGCUAACUCUGUGCCAGCCGCCGCAGUAACAC
rnacentral:rRNA from 1 species